GGAUUUAUCAUAGGUCAAUCAGAUUAUUUAAAAUAAAAAUAUUUUUAAAUCUAGAACUUUUUAUUCAGAUUAUAAAAUCUGGUACAUAAAGAGCAUCUCAGUAUUGGCUAUUGCAUAUCUUGUGUUUGAUGAAACACACACAAAUUUUGAUGAAUACUAAAAAUAUGGCUAGUUCCAUGCUUGAAUUUUCAUUCAAAUCUUAUCAAAUUAUGCAUUGAUUAACACAUACAUGUAGGACCAAGAAUUGUCAAUCUUAUCUUCAGCCUCAAUAUUCCAAUUAUUGGAUGGCUUUACCAAACAUUUACUGUAAUAUAUACUUUUCAUUGCUGAUUGUUUUUCCGCCAUUGCUGAUUAUUUUAAUUUUAUUUUCUCCAUCUCACAUUACCCCAAAAUUAAGUAUAGUUUGCUGCUUCAGUUCACCCAUAUCCAAAUAAGUUCCACUUUGUAAUUAUAAGUAAAGACAACAUAUCCUAGCUAAUUAUUUCGACCUUAACUGUUUGUUUUUUAAAGUUGGGAAAGGUUUUUUAAAAAUCACAAAGUUUGUUCCAAAAUUCAAAUUUUGUUUAAAACCACAAUGUGGUUGGCACUAGAAUAAAAAAAAAACAACUGAAGAACACAACCCUCCUAUAAGUCAGUACUGUAUAAAACUGCCUUGUUCCUCAACAAAUCCAUUUUAUUUGCAUCCAGGAAUAAUCAAACUCAUGUAUUAAGAGUGUGCUGGGAUAAAUAAGACAAAACUAUUAAACAACAAGGCAG